CCUACGGGAGGCAGCAGUCGAGAAUUUUUCUCAAUGGGGGAAACCCUGAAGGAGCGACGCCGCGUGGGGGAUGAAGGACUUCGGUUCGUAAACCCCUGUCACUUGGGAACAAAAGUUGCAACCCAACACGUUGCACCUGAUAGUACCAGGAGAGGAAGGCACGGCUAACUCUGUGCCAGCAGCCGCGGUAAU
rnacentral:rRNA from 1 species